UACGUAGGCAGCAAGCGUUGUUCGGAGUUACUGGGCGUAAAGAGUGUGUAGGCGGUUUUCUAAGUUUGGUGUGAAAUCUCCCGGCUUAACUGGGAGGGUGCGCCGAAGACUGGAAGGCUUGAGUAUGGGAGAGGAAAGCGGAAUUCCUGGUGUAGCGGUGAAAUGCGUAGAUAUCAGGAGGAACACCUGUGGUGUAGACGGCUUUCUGGACCGUAACUGACGCUGAGACACGAAAGCGUGGGUAGCAAACAGG
rnacentral:rRNA from 1 species